rnacentral:rRNA from 1 species
AUGGAAGAGGUUAGCCUCUUGGACCCUGAGACUUACGAGAAAAGAACCACCCUGAGUGCUGAGCUGAAUGAUAUCCUGGCUGAUGAAGAGCUAUUUUUGCUUCAGCAGUCGAAUGAACGAUGGUUGUUAAAAGGGGACUGUAACACAACCUAUUUCCACCGGAUAGCUAAUGGUAGGAAGAGAAAGAACACCAUUCAUUCCCUCGAUGAUGGGGAUAGGGUCAUAGAGGGCACAAAAAAUCUCUUGGAGCAUGCCACUUCUUAUUACAAGGGACUCUUUGGCCCAGCCAACGGAAAUAUGUUUCACCUCUCUCCUGAAACCUGGUCUGAUGAGGAGAAACUUACGGAAGAUGACAACCUCAUCCUGACUGGUGCUUUCACCAAAAAGGAAGUCAAAAAAGCCUUAUUCAGCAUGAAUAGUAAUGGGGCCCCUGGACCUGAUAAUAUUCUAGUUGAGUUUUAUAAACAUUGUUGGGACUUCGUCAAAAAAGAUAUCAUGAGACUUUUUGAAGCAUUCCAUAACAACACCCUGGAUGUUGAUCGCCUGAACUAUGGGAUUAUCACCUUGAUUCCAAAGGUCAAUGGGGCUAAACGCAUCCAACAAUACCGUCCUAUUUGCUUGCUUAGAUGCCCCUAUAAACUUAUUACUAAGGUGUUGGACAAUAGGUGA